GAAUGCUUUCACCACUUGGAACCCGGAAGGAGCCUUGGCAGCACCUUGGCGGUCGCAAACUCAACGCUGUCCAGUUCCGGCACUGGACCAAGAUGCGGGAAGGAGUUCUGCGGGUUCAGCGCAGCCUUUUUCUUUAGCGGCGUUGCCGGAUUGGCCGACAACAAUUGCAGAUGGAUCGGCGCGAUAAGCAUUUCACCGAACGCGGCAACGUCAUCCACCGUCCCGACCUCGCAACCGAUGGCCGAUACGCCGGAUCGUUUCGGUCGUCUGGAAUUGCUCAACAUGACCUGAUGACCGGCUUUCACCGCAAUCGAUCCAACGGCCUGUGCCAUUCGACCCGCGCCUAUGAUCCCG
rnacentral:sRNA from 1 species